UUCAGCGAUCCAAGUCUACAUAUUGUGUUUAUUGCACGAUCAUGCCAAAUCAUUUGAAAUGUCUCGGAUUUCGUUCAUUUGUCCCGAGAUUAUGUCAAGCACUAGAAUCAAGGCCGACCCUGGAGCGCCAACAAUGUAUUUGAAAAACAUUUUCCAAGCUGAAAUUGAAAAGGAGAAGAUGGGUAAUCCUAACCUAACUAAUUGGUUUUUAAUCCCAUAUAAUCAAGAAAAUCAUUGGAAUUUAUACGUGAUGGACCUACGUAGAGGUUAUGUAUAUAUUUUCGAUUCUGCUAGAGAUCCACGUCGAACAGAUUAUGCAUGGGGAAUCUUGAGUUUG